AUCUGGAAUUGUCAGAGUGGUCCAAGUGUUUUAUUGGCUGUCACGAUCCUAAUAGCGGAGAAUCUUAGGAAGAGAAACUGGAACCUCUCUCAGUUAGCGAGAUGGAGAGAGAAUCAAUCAGUUGCUUUUUAACUGUGGUUUCUCGCAGCAGAUACGGAAAGUCUUUGGUGGAUUAAAUUUCUCCCAACUUUCCUUGAGAACCUUUUGUUGCAUUGGAA
rnacentral:lncRNA from 1 species